rnacentral:rRNA from 1 species
UGUCUCAGUACUUGCUUUUACAAGGCGAAACCGCGAAUGGCUCAUUAAAUCAGUUAUGGUUCACUAGAUCGUAAAUUUUACACGGAUAACUGUGGUAAUUCUAGAGCUAAUACGUGCAACCAGCUCGCUUCCUUGUGGAGCGAGCGCAGUUAUUAGAACAAGACCAAUCCGGCCUUCGGGUCGGUACAUUUGGUGACUCUGAAUAACCGAAGCGGAGCGCAUGGUCUCGUACCGGCGCCAGAUCUUUCAAGUGUCUGACUUAUCAGCUUGUUGUUAGGUUAUGUUCCUAACAAGGCUUCAACGGGUAACGGGGUAUCAGGGUCCGAUACCGGAGAGGGAGCCUGAGAAACGGCUACCACAUCCAAGGAAGGCAGCAGGCGCGCAAAUUACCCACUCCUAGCACAGGGAGGUAGUGACGAAAAAUAACGAUGCGGGGUCUUAUAGAUUCCCGUAAUCGGAAUGGGUACACUUUAAAUCCUUUAACGAGGAUCUAUUGGAGGGCAAGUCUGGUGCCAGCAGCCGCGGUAAUUCCAGCUCCAAUAGCGUAUAUUAAAGUUGCUGCGGUUAAAAAGCUCGUAGUUGGAUCUGGGCUUCUGAAUGGAUGGUGCGCUUUUCGGUGCUACUGUCCGUUUGGUGCCACAAGUCGGCCAUGUAGUGCAUGCCCUUCAUUGGGUGUGCAUUGCGACCGAAACGUUUACUUUGAAAAAAUUAGAGUGCUCAAAGCAGGCGUACGGCCUUGCAUAAUGGUGCAUGGAAUAAUGGAAUAGGACCUCGGUUCUAUUUUGUUGGUUUUCGGAACUCGAGGUAAUGAUUAAUAGGAACAGACGGGGGCAUUCGUAUUGCGGCGUUAGAGGUGAAAUUCUUGGAUCGUCGCAAGACGA